AAAAUUACCGAGAAACUUGACUCCUUUCAAAUGUUCGGAUGCGUGCGGCCCCGCGUUGGACUUGAGCGCGAAGCUAUAUGUUAGUUUCCACUCAAUACUCGAGGGAUGGACGUAUACGAGCCUGUGAAAGGAGACAAAAAUUUUGUACAAUU
rnacentral:pre_miRNA from 1 species